rnacentral:rRNA from 1 species
CCAAUAGCGUAUAUUAAAGUUGUUGCAGUUAAAAAGCUCGUAGUUGAAUUUCGGGAUCAAUAUGUCGGUCGUGCCUUCGGUACGUACUGGUAUCAUUGGUUUCUCCCUUCUGACAAAUCAUGAUGUCAUUAAUUUGGUGUUAUGGGGAGUUAGGACUGUUACUUUGAAAAAAUUAGAGUGUUUAAAGCAGGCAUUAGCUUGAAUACAUUAGCAUGGAAUAAUGAAAUAGGACGUUUGACCCUAUUUUGUUGGUUUCUAGGAUCGACGUAAUGAUUAAUAGGGAUAGUUGGGGGCAUUAGUAUUCAAUUGUCAGAGGUGAAAUUCUUGGAUUUAUUGAAGACUAACUACUGCGAAAGCAUUUGCCAAGGAUGUUUUCAUUAAUCAAGAACGAAAGUUAGGGGAUCGAAGACGAUCAGAUACCGUCGUAGUCUUAACCAUAAACUAUGCCGACUAGGGAUCGGAUGAUGUUAAUUUUUUAAUGACUCAUUCGG